GAGAAUAACGGCAUUUUCCUUUUAACAAGGCUAAAUAAAUCGUGUACUAAAUAGUUAGGAAAUCAAAAUUCAACGCAGGAAAUGAUGAUCCAUCCGUCAUAUUUAUUAUACACCAGCUACAGGAUUGGUUGAAAAAGUGACCCGAAGCUUGAAGUAUGGAGGAGGCUUGUGAACCAGCCUGACUGACUGUGCUGUGUAAUGCACUGCCGUUAUGGAUUAUAUCGGCGAGAUGAAUGUAAAACAAACAAAAAAAAACUAUAUAACCACUCGUGCAGACAAGCCUGGCUCUUUCGUACAGUGGUCAAGGUGCUUGCUUGCAGUGUUUGUGAAGGCUGGUUUGUGUCCAACCUCCCGCCCUGUUACUCCAGCAAAGAAACAAGCGGACAAUGAACAAGAAAAUAAUCAGCAGCUUCCACAAAAACACCAACAGCAUUGCACAACAUUGCCCUCGGGAAGUGCAUCACCUGGUCGUGAACUGGUAUUAGAACCGUGUCUUUUUGUGCACUAAGCAAUGCUAGAAAAAAAAGACAGAAUAGUAAUACAUUUUGUUACUGAAUUUCUUAGAGGUGCUGUCAAAUCCAUCAGUAGAAUAUCGUUUUUUUCAGAUGACUUUAAUUCUAACCAAAGAUACUGUACUUCCCCUUAGUAUUCAGUAAAAUAAAGGAAUUUGACCUUUUUUCUUCCUUCUCACCAGACUGUAAAAAUUGAUCCCAAAAGUCCCAAAGUAUAAUGUUGCAACUCAAUUGGGCUAUCCAAUUUUCAGAGUAAUUGGGGACACUUCACAGUAAACACAUCUUUCCAGGAAUUGAAUGACACUACAACUAUGGUAAUGGAUUUCAAAUUAAUUAGUGUGCUAUUCCCCAUGCAUGCACUAGGACUAAUCAGAGAUACACUGAAAUGUCAUCUGUACUUCAUGCUUAUUCCUACAGUUACUAAUUACAGUAAAGACUUUUGUACUGUUAAAAUUGUGAUGUUCUCCCUUCUAUAUUUUUUCAUGUUUCUGCUUAUAUUUAAACAGUCUAAACAGAAACCAUGUAUGAGAGAGAACGUGAACUCCAGUGGAAAACCUUUCCUCACUAUGUUUAACAGGUAUACAUUAAUAAUGAAAAGUUACCAUACCAGUGAAAAGCUAUGGCUGUCCAUCCCUAAUCUGUAAUUUCAGUACAUUAACUACUCCCCAUAGCAGAACUAUAACUAAAAUGUAAAAUGGCUCUUAAAACCUUACUUGUGAAAUAUUUUUAAUAUACACUCAGAGUGAUUAAGUGAAAACAGUUUAAAUCUAGUUCUUAAUGACUUCAAGAGCUUUUUUUUUUAUUAUCAUUAAUUACACACAUUAGACUGAAGCAGUAUUUGCUUACAUAGACAAACAGUAUUUGCAUAUGGUGAAAAAAUACAUUUAUUGGAAUCAGUGAAGUUGUAGAAAAGUGGAAAACUGACUUUGGGAUUUGUUACAGUACCACUGCUUCAUCCUUAUGCCAGAUUUCUGACUAGCUCUACAGCACAGUGGUGCAAAGUCUGAUGACAAAAUGGCUUAGAAUACAAAACACUGAAAUUCACACCUAAAACAAUCUUAUUUUGCUUUUAAGAUAGUUUCAAAAUGUACAAUAUGCAUAAAAACCCCCCAGAUAUUCUUCCAUUGGCAUCAGUAAGCAGGCUUUAUAUAUUUGUAACCAUGGGAAAAACAGAGAAGAAUGUAUACAAUAUGUAAUGGGACAUUUUACAAUGUAUGUCAAGAUUUAACAAAUCUACAAGGAAAAAAAAAAAGUGUUUUACUCAGAUACUGAGCAUACCCCUUUGGGUUUAGUUCUAUUAUAUGACAUUUGUGUUUUACAUUUUUUUUUUUAAAUUAAAUAAUAUCUCAUGUUUAUACAAAAAUCUAUUUAUUAAAACUGAUUAUAUCUACAUGAUAUAGGAACAUGUUCAUUAUCAUGCUAAAUCAAAUUAAUGGGACAACUAAAACUUACCUCCCCUAGCAUGGUUCCUUUCCUCAUUCACUCAUAAAUAAUUACCUUUUCCUGACCAUGCAAAUAUGACAGCUGAAUCUCUUCUAAUCUCUAGCGUUUAUUCACUAACACAGCAGAAACAAUUAACAUCCACCCAGAAAGUGUAAACAACUGUGAUAAUUCAUUUGAAAAAUUGUCUUUUCAGAUUCAACGGAAUGGCUUAAAAAAAAAAAAUUAAAUACUGACAUGGCUGAAGCCAAACAAAAUACUGAAAGCAUGUUAUUCCUUUAAAAAUAGCACAGGUAUUCUCCAAGCAUAGACUGACUCAACUCACAUGGAACUCAUUUACUGGAAGCUACUGCUAGAAACACAACAAGCACUGCUUGCGCUAUAUAAGAAAAUGAACAACUGUUAUCGUUGACCUCUAAUAGAGCUUUUACAUUGAUUUUACACACAUGUAGUACCACCUUAGAUAGUGCAGUUAGUUAUUUUUUCACAAUGCUGCCGUUUUUCACAUGUAACACUAGAACACAGCAGAUGGUAUACCCUGACUCGUGCAAUGCAAGAUACAACCAUUAAAGCAUCACAGAUUUAACAGCGACAAUGCAAUGUUAUUUAAUACUUGUUUUCAACAGGAUAUUGAGACGUUACACAGACUGAACACCUAAUGUAAUCUUUUACAUGCUAAGCAGCAUAAAGAGGCAGGGUUUCUUUCUGUACAUAUAACUGACCGCUAUGAAAAACCACUAAAAGCCUAUGAAUCACUAGUAUUACUAAGCUCUUUUAUUUCUCUUUUUAUUUUCUGGAUCAUGUUUCACAGUACUUUAUGUAUGACCUUAUACAGAGAAAAUGCUGGUGUGUCCAAUAUGUAAAAUGUGUAAUAUAUAAUGAUAGGAUUAUUUGACACUGCCAUUCUGAGAACACUGCCUGUUUAAAUAUGUGCUUCUUAUCGCAAAUUUUUAUUUUUUUAAAAAAUGACCUUAUUUUAUAUGUAUUCUUACCUUCUGUGCUGUUUGUCAUUCUUCCAGUAAAGGGUUGAAAUAUACUGGAAACUAGACCAGCGGUUUUCAAACGGGGGAGGGGGCGCAGAAGUGUGUAGGUUUUUUU